AAAAAAAAGACCAUAUCACUACAAAAGACAGUUUCUUACUAUCCCUAUAAUUUAACCAAGACUUGCUCAGAUGACAAAGAGCCUCACCCACCCCCAAACUAUUUUUGGGCUCUCUCUUCGACACUUAACUAUGUAUUCCCCAUGAACUCCAUCUUCAAGCUGCUGACUGUUUGGUAUAGAAGCGGAUGCCAAAAGCCACACCCAAAAUAAUCAGGGGAACUAAGAACUGGAGGAGCUUGACGACAAACUCUGAUGUUUUGUCCUGGUUGUACUGAGGCUGCUUGGGAGGAGUAUACUUGGUUUUGGUCGGAAUGGUUGCUGAAUCAAUAUCACCUACAUAGUACUCAUCCAACAUUGCUCGAGCACUGCUGCUGUGGCCUACAUCCUCAAAAUCAUCAGUCGCAUCCUUUCCAGUUGAAGAUAUGAGAACCUCAUCACCUCCAGGGUGAUCAUCCAAGAAUUUUGUCACAUUAUAUACCUUGCCAUUAAUAACCAACCAACAAUCCUUAGCGCUGUUGUGCUGGGAGACCUCAGCCAAAGUGUAGACCUUAGCCAUUUAUGAACAAACAAGAACCAAAAAAGAUCAAAAUUUAGGCUCUUCAAGACUUGUGAAGAAGGCUUGAAGAGAGAAAAG
rnacentral:misc_RNA from 1 species